CUAACAGAUAAGCAAACGGUAACGGCAACAGAAGUGAAAAGGAAAGAUGGAAUUUCAGCUAAGGAUAAACCAUCUUGAAUUGGCUAAUUUACAUUCCAGAAUUCUAGGAAGGCUCCAGAACUGAGGACAUCAGAUUCAUCUCUGUUCAGGAUGAGGUGGAAAAUGGGUUAGCCCUUCCCCAGAACCAGACAUAGCAGCCUUCACUUUCAUCCAAGUCUGAGUUGCAUUAGAGCUCUGGACUCUGAAAAGCAGGCAAAAUUAAUACAAGAUGGCAAAUUCACGCUGGAUACAUUUGGAGGAAGAAGCAUCUUUUCCUGAAAUGAACAAUAGUCCCCUAUGCUGUGUCACCCGAGAGGAGCGUGGUUGUAAACCUAAAAGUGGGGCAACGUACUUUGGCAGUUUCCUUCAAAAGGUGAAGUCUGUUUCUCUAACCUUGAAUCUUAACUGUCCUUGUGUGUUGCUCUGACCAAUUUAGAAUGUGGCAGAAGGGACAUUUUGUGAAUUAUAAACUCAGGCUUUAAGAAGCUUUGCAGCUUUUCACCUUGGCCUUUUGAAUCACUACCUUAAAAUCACCAUGUAAAGAAAUCAGUCUGGGCUCUGGGAGAAUGAGAGACUUACAUGAAUAUAUGAAGCAACAUGCCCUAAGUAACAUCCAACACUUAUUAGUAGACGGAUGUGCAUGACCAGCUGAUCUGCCAGUUAGGUGUAGUCUCAAAGGAAGGAUAGGUAAACUAGAUAAGGGAUUCCCUCAUCAACCCACAGAAUUGGGGAGGGGGUGGAUUGGUGAUUGCUUUAAGCCAUAAGCUUUUGCGUAGCUCGACAGCAAUAAGUAAUAGAGACAAGUGUCUUAAUUCUUUCAUCAGGUCCAAUAUCUAAAGACAGAGACCCAAGGCUUUUUCUCAUUCUCAGAAAGGCACCAUAUGUGCUGGCACUGAUAUUAUAAUUCAAAACCAUAUCCAAGGUGUUAAAAACUAUUCAGAUAUGAAGUCCAGCUAAGAGCAUCAGAGGGAAUAGUUCAUGAGUGGCUCAUUACUGCAGAUAUCUUAGAGGGAUAGUGGUCUUAACUCUGAUUCAGUUGACCUAAAUUUAUCUGCUUGUCGAAUAAAAUAAGUUGUAAAAUUAGUCA
rnacentral:lncRNA from 12 species